CUUUACACCACCAGGACUUACUAAAGACAGCAAACACACAAAACUUAAAAAAGGCCAUAGCGAACAGGGAGGUAACUCCAAAAUUAUCGGUACAGUUAUUGGUGGACUACUGGGAUUUUGUUCUGUAAUUGCUUUGUUAGCUGCACUGAUUGUAUGCAAAUUAAGGUCAAUUGGAAUUUUUAAAGAAUCAUCAACACAUGAUAAACAAGAAAAUAGUCAGAUGCAAUUUUCAAAGACAGUAUACCAAGAUUCAAAUAGUACAACAGAGAAAAGAAUUACAACACCAACAUCAAACCAGACUUACGGACUUGCUGGAAACAGUACAGCAGUAUAUGCAGUGGUAAAAAAAAUAAAGACAUCGGGAAAUAUAAACGAGACAUACAUUGAUGCAGGGUAUGGAGAAUAUGAUCAUUUACAUGAUAUACAAACUCGAAGAAUAAGUGUACAAGAAAAUUUGUAUCACAGUCAUGGUGCACCGCGAAAUGAGGAGGACCUAACAUAUGAUAGCUCAGAUUUCGGAAAAGGACAAUCCUAUGAUGGUAACGGUGUAUAUGAUCAGUCUUUUUCAGUGGUUGAAGGGGAAUAUUCAUAUUCGACAUACAAAAACCAUGAUAACACCAAUAACAUGGGAAUAUACGACAAAGCAUCUUAACUACGUGUUGCAUUUAAUAAAAUUAAACUUUUGUUCAACAAAUACAUUCUUUCAACAUAUUUCUUAUUAAGGUGUAUUACCACCAAAUCAUAGUACGUCACAUCCGGUUGCAUACG